CCUACGGGAGGCAGCAGUAAGGAAUAUUGGUCAAUGGACGAAAGUCUGAACCAGCCAUGCCGCGUGAAGGAUGAAGGUCCUCUGGAUUGUAAACUUCUUUUAUCUGGGACGAAAAAAGGGAAUUCUUUCCCACUUGACGGUACCAGAGGAAUAAGCACCGGCUAACUCCGUGCCAGCAGCCGCGGUAAUACGGAGGGUGCAAGCGUUAUCCGGAUUCACUGGGUUUAAAGGGAGCGUAGGUGGGUCUGUAAGUCAGUGGUGAAAUCUCCGGGCUUAACCCGGAAACUGCCAUUGAUACUAUAGGUCUUGAAUAUUCUGGAGGUAAGCGGAAUAUGUCAUGUAGCGGUGAAAUGCUUAGAUAUGACAUAGAACACCAAUUGCGAAGGCAGCUUACUACAGGAUUAUUGACACUGAGGCUCGAAAGCGUGGGGAUCAAACAGGAUUAGAUACCCUGGUAGUCCACGCCCUAAACGAUGGAUACUCGACAUCAGCGAUACACUGUUGGUGUCUGAGCGAAAGCAUUAAGUAUCCCACCUGGGAAGUACGACCGCAAGGUUGAAACUCAAAUGAAAUUGACGGCNGAGAGAGCGAGACGACGACGAGGGAGGAGG
rnacentral:rRNA from 1 species